UGGUGGAGUGAUUUGUCUGGUUAAUUCCGUUAACGAACGAGACCUCGACCUACUAAAUAGUUGACUAAACUCUUCGGGGUUUGGAUUGACUUCUUAGAGGGACUUUUGGUGAGUAGCCAAAGGAAGUUCGAGGCAAUAACA
rnacentral:rRNA from 1 species